AGUGAACGCUGGCGGUAGGCCUAACACAUGCAAGUCGAACGGCAGCACAGUAAGAGCUUGCUCUUACGGGUGGCGAGUGGCGGACGGGUGAGGAAUACAUCGGAAUCUACUUUUUCGUGGGGAUAACGUAGGGAAACUUACGCUAAUACCGCAUACGACCUACGGGUGAAAGCAGGGGAUCUUCGGACCUUGCGCGAUUGAAUGAGCCGAUGUCGGAUUAGCUAGUUGGCGGGGUAAAGGCCCACCAAGGCGACGAUCCGUAGCUGGUCUGAGAGGAUGAUCAGCCACACUGGAACGGAGACACGGUCCAGACUCCUACGGGAGGCAGCAGGGGGGAAUAUUGGACAAUGGGCGCAAGCCUGAUCCAGCCAUACCGCGUGGGUGAAGAAGGCCUGCGGGUUGUAAAGCCCUUUUGUUGGGAAAGAAAAGCAGCAGGUUAAUACCCCGCUGUUCUGACGGUACCCAAAGAAUAAGCACCGGCUAACUUC
rnacentral:rRNA from 1 species